UUGGGGGGACGGAAAAGCCCAAUGUUUUAAAGCCAUUGGGUACUUUUUUUUGCCUGAGGCAGGCUAUCUUUAAUAGAACUUUUAGUUCUUAUGGAUAGUAAUUCGGCCUCUUUUUUGAAAGCUUCGGCUUUUAGCGAUUUAUUCGCAUAAAGUUCUAUAUGGAAUUCGUAUGAUGACCAUUUUCUAUAUAAAAGUCUUGACUAAAACACGUGCCAGCAGUCGCGGUACCACGGGACAGACUAGUGUUAUUCAUCUCUAAUAGGUUUAAAGGGUACCUAGACGGCAAAUUUAGCCCCCACUGAAGCUGGGGAUGGUACAUUUUUGCUAGAGUUUUAUAUGAGAGGGAUUUAGUACUAACAGAGUAGAGAUGAAAUUCUUUGAUACUGUAGGGCACUGAUAACGGCGAAGGCAGACCUUUAUGUAAAAACUGACGUUGAGGGACGAAGGCUUGGGUAACAAACAGGAUUAGGUACCCUAAUAGUCCAAGCAGAGACUGAUGAGUGCCAUAGAUUAGAAUAUGUUUGAUCUAUAAAUGAAAGUGAAAGCACUCCACCUUAAGAGUAAUGCGGCAACGCAGGAACUGAAAUCAUUAGACCGUUUCUGAUACCAGUAGUGAAGUAUGUUGUUUAAUUCGAUGACCCACGAAAAAUCUUACCACAAUUUGAAUAUUAUAGCAACAAUAGGAAAGUCUUUUAACACGGUGGCAACACCGUUUAAUAUGAUGAAAGUGCUAAUAAUACAGGUGUUGCAUGGCUGUCUUCAGUUUAUGUCGUGAGAUGCGGGUUAGCUCCUACUAAAUAAACGUGAACCCUUACUUUAUUUUAGUUAGCAAUUGCUAAUUACAUAGAGUAGCUGUCUGAUACGUCAGACAAAUAACAGGGACCAAGACAAUUCCUUCCAGCCCA
rnacentral:rRNA from 1 species